rnacentral:rRNA from 1 species
AUGUGCACUUACUCCAGCGAGACAGAUGGCCCACUGCGUCAUAGCCCCGAUGACUUACCAGAAGAUGUGGUGGAAGCCAUGAUCCAAUCGUUGUUGAAAGAGGGCACGGUGAUUAGUAAUGCCUUUGGCUUACUUCCCUGCAAGAAGAACCCGGCCCCUGCUGUCGAUGACAACUUCUGGAAGGUCAAAUAUGACCAUGAGGCGACCAAACAAGCCAGAGCGGCAAAGAGAGCUGAAAGGAAAGCCGCCAAAACAGGAACUUCAAGGAAGAAGAGGCCAAGCGCUUUGGAUUUGCUCAAAUUGGAUGACACUUCUAAUGAAGAAGAGGAGGAUACGGGGAACAGCCAAGCAAUUGACGAAGAGGAUACCUCUCCUUCCUUCGGCGAGUCUAUGCAAUCUAACAUACGGGCUUUCAAAAUUGCCCCGGGCGUGCAAGUGAAGCCCAACAAGAGGGCAAAAAAGAGUAAGCCGUCCCGAGACCCGGUCGUGACUGAACCGGAGCUUGGCACGACUGCUCCUGAUAGUUCUACCCAUCAACCGCCGCCUGAACCAGCCUGUGACAUUCCAGCACCAACCUCUGAUCCACACAUUGAAGACACUCUCAAUAGCUUUGAUAACCCGGAAGCUCCUAGCCCGGUCAAGACAGUUGAUCCGGACAUUGAGAUUCUGAAGACUCACUUUGUUGAGCCAGGGCGACCCACCGUUCUUGCCAAGUGCUCUGCUAAGGAGGAACUUCUGGAACGCCGAAAGGCCAAGCUAGAUAUUGCUGACUAUACUCAUUUGAGUAUUGGAGAUAUAGUCUCUGGCUAUCUCAAUCAAGUACAUAGCAGCCGUGACCUGGAAAUUGGCAUGGUGAAGCAAAUAAAGCAAAAAUCUGAGGCCACCAUAAGUCAAUUUGAGUCGGAGAUGACUGACCUGAAGAACCGCCUGGCUGCUCAAGAACUUGAAAUUCAAAAGGCCAACUCCAAAUUUGAAUUCAGUGUCUGUGAACAAGAGAAGCUGAAGAAGAAUUUUGAGGCAGAGAAGAAAAUUUGGGCUCAUGAAAAGGCUUCACUGGUGACCCGGGCUGAGACGGCAGAGGCAUUACUUGCAGAAGCAACAACGGAGCUAUCCGGCUUAAAACGCCAGAUAUCUCAAAUGGUCUCAACAAUCUUUGGUCCUACGAGCACAAACCUCAAGCAGAACAUGUUGAUCAAGCUGAAGGCGGUUUAUACUCUUGUGGAGGAGCUCUACAGCGGGUCACAACGUGCUCUCGCCAUUGUAGCUUUAUCAGAUGACGUUCCUCACCUCCUGCAAAACGUAUUGAAACGGCUUGCUUCACUACCUCAACGGAUCCAAGAUCUAAGGCGGGCAUCCGCAAGAGCCGGGGCCGUAGCUGCGUUGAGCCGGGCGAAAGUCUGGAUUCCGGAACUAGACCCGACCGACCUCGCUCUUGGAUAA